GCUGGGCGUGGUGGCUCACGCCUGUAAUCCCAGCACUUUGGGAGGCUGAGGCAGGUGGAUUACCUGAGGUCAGGAGUUUGAGACCAGCCUGGCCAACAUGGUGAAACCCUGUCUCUA
rnacentral:SRP_RNA from 1 species